CAAAAAAACAUUGAAUACCCUACAUACGUUACAAAGGUUAAACAAGUUCCCCAUAUAACGUGAUGAAUGUUCCCCUACAUAAACCCCAACAGAGGUCCUCAUGUUACCAGACGCAUGCUCUCUCAACACUGCAAGGUUUGGCUGUUCUUUUCGGAAAAAAAGAUGACAUCCAUCUUAGGUUUUUUCUAUUCCAGCUUUUUGACUCUCAAUAUUGCAUCGAUGAGGGGAAGGGAUAUCAAGCUGAUUUUGAUAAAAGCAAAUCACUUGGGCAUCCAUGUUCAAAUUAGUAUAGGACAUUCUUAUACUCAGUUGCGGUAUCAAUAAAUUAUCACACCAUGAAAUGCUACCGGUCCUUUUGUUGACCGAAACAAUCAGAAGAUACUAUGGAUCUAGCCAAAGCUAUGCAUGAUGUGGACAGCAUUGCUGAUAUGAUAGCGGCUUUGACAUCCCUACACAAAAGUAAAAUUAUUGCUCAGUUGCGAUGAAUUAUUACACCAUGAAAUGCUACCGGUCCUUUUGGUGAGAAAGCUAGAGAUCUGUCUGAUGAUGUGGUGUCAGUUGCCCAUUGGAGUUGCUUAUGUAAUGACACUUACUAGAUCUGAAAGAAAAUCAGUCAGGACUCAGGUUUGUCAGUGCUCUUGGUGAAAUAAAAUAUUUCCCAAAAAAAUAUGGGAUGACUCUACUUAGAGAAAGUUGUAUGCGUGAUACAUUAGCAGGCUACACCACCCUUUAUUGUCGGUCUCAGUUUCCUUUAUCCUAUCCACAUGAAGCUGCUAAUCUUUCUGGAUUCAUCCGGAAUCUAAUAUAAUUGUAGGAUGAUUAACAUCUGCAUUCAUGGAGCUACAAGUAAUGUCUUUAAACUGUUUAAUGUUUAUGCAACUAUGUGCAUACUUCAGCUUAAAUGCCAGGAUAAAAUGUAAAACCUCGAUAAGUCACUCCU